rnacentral:misc_RNA from 1 species
UUCAAAUCCAAAAGCUAGAUCCCACAACACUUACAAAUCCAACGGUUAGAAAGCCCUACAGAUUUCGGCCGUUUUCUUACUUUUUAGAAUCCGGACGAUUUUCUUGCUCUUUUUUCACUCUCUCUCUCUCUAUUCAUCGUCUUACUCGAGUUAUUGUUCUUGUUCCGACCCUAAUUCCCUUAAAAUCCUAGCUUUAUCCGACUCCGUUGAAAUCAAUGGGACCUAAACGAUCAACUCCCUUGGAAGAUCCACC